UUGAAGUAUUGACUUAUAUGACAAAUAAAUAUAUGACAGUUAGGGGUAAUACAGUAAAGUAAUUAAGAGUAACUAGAUAUGGUCUUAAUGCUUUUAUUUUAGCAGUGUUUUUUUUUUACCUAAAUCUGACUGCAGCUUGCUUAGAGUCCUUCUCCUCAUCAAUUCCUUGUGGAUCAAUAAGACUCUGCCUGCACACUGCAUCUCGGUUUCCAGACAGAAUCACACCAGCAGAAUAAUGAUUCAGCAGGUCCAUUGCUGUGUCUGGAAUCAUCUGGCUGGUAUUGGUGCUGAUGUGUUUAGUUUCUGGACUUUGUAAUGGCUGUGGCAGUACUUCAGAAAACCGGCUAAGAUCCCCAAGAAGAACUCCACCCCAG